UACGUAGGGUCCAAGCGUUAAUCGGAAUUACUGGGCGUAAAGCGUGCGUAGGCGGUCUCGCAAGUCCGAUGUGAAAUCCCCGAGCUCAACUCGGGAACUGCGUCCGAUACUGGCAGGCUUGAAUCCGGGAGAGGGAUGCGGAAUUCCAGGUGUAGCGGUGAAAUGCGUAGAUAUCUGGAGGAACACCGGUGGCGAAGGCGGCAUCCUGGACCGGCAUUGACGCUGAGGCGCGAAAGCCAGGGGAGCAAACGGG
rnacentral:rRNA from 1 species